UUUCCGUAGGUGAACCUGCGGAAGGAUCAUUACCGAACGAGGGCCCUCUGGGUCCAACCUCCCACCCGUGUCUCUUGUACCUCGUUGCUUCGGCGCGCCCGCCUCACGGGCGCCGCGGGGCAUCACGCCCCCGGGCCCGCGCGCGCCGAAGACACCCUCGAACUCUGUCUGAAGAAUGCAGUCUGAGUGAAAUGAUAAGUUAUUUAAAACUUUCAACAACGGAUCUCUUGGUUCCG
rnacentral:misc_RNA from 1 species